UUUAAAUUUAGAGUUUGAUCCUGGCUCAGGACGAACGCUGGCGGCGUGCUUAACACAUGCAAGUCGAGCGAUGAAGCUUCCUUCGGGAAGUGGAUUAGCGGCGGACGGGUGAGUAACACGUGGGUAACCUGCCUCAAAGUGGGGGAUAGCCUUCCGAAAGGAAGAUUAAUACCGCAUAAUAUGAGAGAAUCGCAUGAUUUCUUAUCAAAGAUUUAUUGCUUUGAGAUGGACCCGCGGCGCAUUAGCUAGUUGGUAAGGUAACGGCUUACCAAGGCAACGAUG
rnacentral:rRNA from 1 species